rnacentral:rRNA from 1 species
CGCUGGCGGCAUGCUUUACACAUGCAAGUCGAACGGCAGCACGGGUGCUUGCACCUGGUGGCGAGUGGCGGACGGGUGAGUAAUACAUCGGAACGUAUCCAGAAGAGGGGGAUAACGCAUCGAAAGAUGUGCUAAUACCGCAUAUUCUCUGAGGAGGAAAGCAGGGGAUCGAAAGACCUUGCGCUUUGGGAGCGGCCGAUGUCUGAUUAGCUAGUUGGUGGGGUAAAGGCCUACCAAGGCGACGAUCAGUAGUUGGUCUGAGAGGACGACCAGCCACACUGGGACUGAGACACGGCCCAGACUCCUACGGGAGGCAGCAGUGGGGAAUUUUGGACAAUGGGCGCAAGCCUGAUCCAGCAAUGCCGCGUGAGUGAAGAAGGCCUUCGGGUUGUAAAGCUCUUUCAGUCGAGAAGAAAAAGCUGCAGUGAAUAACUGUAGUUCAUGACGGUAUCGACAGAAGAAGCACCGGCUAACUACGUG